UAUUUGGUACACUUAUGCUAACGCUAGUACCGGGUUGGACCCCCUAUUGCCUUCGGAACUGCCUUACUUCUUUGUGGCAUAGAUUCAACAAGCUGUUGGAAACAUUCCUCAGAGAUGUUGGUCCAUGUUGACAUGACAUCAUCACACAGUCGCCCAUUCAACCAGUCUGCCCAUUCUCCUCUGGCAUCAACAAGGUAUUUUCAUUCACGCAAUUGCCGCUUACUGGACAUCUUCU